rnacentral:rRNA from 1 species
UACGUAGGGUGCGAGCGUUGUCCGGAAUUACUGGGCGUAAAGAGCUCGUAGGUGGUUUGUCGCGUUGUUCGUGAAAACUCACAACUCAAUUGUGGGCGUGCGGGCGAUACGGGCAGACUGGAGUACUGCAGGGGAGACUGGAAUUCCUGGUGUAGCGGUGAAAUGCGUUGAUAUCGGAAGGAACGCCGGUGGCGAAAGCGAGCUGCUGGCCCUCUUCUGACGCUGAGGCGCGAAAGCCAGGGGAGCGAACGGG